rnacentral:RNase_P_RNA from 1 species
UGGGUCGAUGAGACGGUCGCGUCGCGGUGCUUCGGCACACGCGCCGAGGAACGUCCGGGCUCCGCAGGGGAGAACGGUGGGUAACGCCCACCCGGGGCAACCCGCGAGAAAGUGCAACAGAGAGCAGACCGACCGCACGGCGCGAGCCGAGCGGCACGGGUGAAAGGGUGGGGUAAGAGCCCACCAGCGUCCGUGGUGACACGGGCGGCUAGGCAAACCUCGUUCGGAGCAAGGCCAGACAGAGCAUGCCGACGCGCCUCGCCGAGUGCUCGGGUAGGCCGCUAGAGGGUACUGGCAACAGUGCCCCGAGAGAGAUGACCGUCGCCUCCGCACGGAGGGACAGAACCCGGCGUAUGAUUCGGCCCAUUCC